CCUACGGGUGGCUGCAGUGGGGAAUUUUGGACAAUGGGCGCAAGCCUGAUCCAGCCAUUCCGCGUGAGUGAAGAAGGCCUUCGGGUUGUAAAGCUCUUUCGCAAGGGAAGAAAACUUAUCCUCUAACAUAGGAUGAGGUUGACGGUACCUUGAUAAGAAGCACCGGCUAACUACGUGCCAGCAGCCGCGGUACUACGUAGGGUGAGAACGUUAAUCGGAAUUUCUGGAGGUAAAGCUGUAAGUGAGUUGUGAAAUCCCCGAGCUCAACUUGGGAACUGCGUUUGAAACUACAAGACUAGAAUAGGUCAGAGGGGGGUAGAAUUCCACGUGUAGCAGUGAAAUGCGUAGAGAUGUGGAGGAAUAUCAAUGGCGAAGGCAGCCCCCUGGGAUCAUAUUGACGCUCAUGCACGAAAGCGUGGGGAGCAAACAGGAUUAGAUACCCCAGUAGUC
rnacentral:rRNA from 1 species